rnacentral:rRNA from 1 species
AUUGAACGCUGGCGGCAUGCCUUACACAUGCAAGUCGAACGGCAGCACGGGAGCAAUCCUGGUGGCGAGUGGCGAACGGGUGAGUAAAGUAUCGGAACGUGCCCAGUCGUGGGGGAUAACGUAGCGAGAGUUACGCUAAUACCGCAUACGAUCUAUGGAUGAAAGCGGGGGAUCGCAAGACCUCACGCGAUUGGAGCGGCCGAUAUCAGAUUAGGUAGUUGGUGGGGUAAAGGCUCACCAAGCCGACGAUCUGUAGCUGGUCUGAGAGGACGACCAGCCACACUGGGACUGAGACACGGCCCAGACUCCUACGGGAGGCAGCAGUGGGGAAUUUUGGACAAUGGGCGAAAGCCUGAUCCAGCCAUGCCGCGUGCAGGAUGAAGGCCUUCGGGUUGUAAACUGCUUUUGUACGGAACGAAAAGGUUUGGCCUAAUAAGCUGAGCUCAUGACGGUACCGUAAGAAUAAGCACCGGCUAACUACGUGCCAGCAGCCGCUGUAA